AUGAACUCAUUUUUUUUAUAACUCGUGACAUUUUGCAUAAAUUAACAAUUGUGUGCAUUUUCUAAUUUAUUAAAGGUAUGAAAUAUUUUGUAGCUAUAAACUAACGAAACUAUUCAAUUAAAAAAUAUGCUAUAAGUAUAAAGAAAAAUAGAAUAUUAGAUCCAUCUUCACAUACAUCUUUAGCGAAAAAAAAAGUUUUUAAAUUCAAUAGUAUAAACAUAUGCUCAGCCUAUUUAAACCGGAACAAUCAAUGCAAUUUU